rnacentral:rRNA from 1 species
UACGUAGGGUCCGAGCGUUGUCCGGAUUUAUUGGGCGUAAAGAGCUCGUAGGCGGCUCAGUAAGUCAGAUGUGAAAACUCAGGGCUCAACCCGGAGACGCCAUCUGAUACUGCUGUGGCUUGAGUCUGGUAGGGGAUCACGGAAUUCCUGGUGUAGCGGUGAAAUGCGCAGAUAUCAGGAGGAACACCGAUGGCGAAGGCAGUGAUCUGGGCCAGUACUGACGCUGAGGAGCGAAAGCGUGGGUAGCAAACAGGAUUAGAUACCCCCGUAGUCC